rnacentral:tRNA from 1 species
GCCGGGGUGGCCGAGUGGAUAAGGCGCAGGCCUUGAGAGCCUGUGGCCCUUAUGGGCCGCGUGGGUUCAAAUCCCACCCCCGGCGCCA